GCCAUCUCAACGGGGUGCAGUUGAUGUUGAACAAUGCUGCUGAGAAUAAACCCGUCGAACCUGAACCGGCUAGUACCGACGUAGGGAUUUGAGACGCAAUCCAUU
rnacentral:ncRNA from 2 species